rnacentral:rRNA from 1 species
UGGGGAAUAUUGCACAAUGGGCGCAAGCCUGAUGCAGCCAUGCCGCGUGAGUGAAGAAGGCCUUAGGGUUGUAAAACUCUUUCAUCGGUGAAGAUAAUGACGGUAGCCGAAGAAGAAGCCCCGGCUAACUCCGUGCCAGCAGCCGCGGUAAUACGGAGGGGGCGAGCGUUGUUCGGAAUUACUGGGCGUAAAGCGCGCGUAGGCGGACUGGUCAGUUGGGGGUGAAAUCCCGAGGCUCAACCUCGGAACUGCCCUCAAUACUGCCAGUCUAGAGUUCGGAAGAGGUAAGUGGAAUUCCUAGUGUAGAGGUGAAAUUCGUAGAUAUUAGGAAGAACACCAGUGGCGAAGGCGGCUUACUGGUCCGAUACUGACGCUGAGGUGCGAAAGCGUGGGGAGCAAACAGGAUUAGAUACCCCCGUAGUCC